AUAAAAGUAGUUAAAAUAAUAACUUUAGAUUUGCAAUCUAAGAUUAGGUAGAGUUCCUCUUUUAUA
rnacentral:tRNA from 1 species